rnacentral:rRNA from 1 species
AUUGAACGCUGGCGGCAGGCCUAACACAUGCAAGUCGAACGAGUGGCGGACGGGUGAGUAAUGUCUGGGAAACUGCCUGAUGGAGGGGGAUAACUACUGGAAACGGUAGCUAAUACCGCAUACCAUCAGAUGUGCCCAGAUGGGAUUAGCUUGUUGUUGGGGUAACGGGUCACCAAGGCGACGAUCCCUAGCUGGUCUGAGAGGAUGACCAGCCAAACGGGAACUGAGACACGGUGCAGCCGCAUACGGGAGGCAGCAGUGGGGAAUAUUGCAACAUGGGCGAAAGCCUGAUGCAGCCAUGCCGCGUGGAUGAAGAGGGCCUUCGGGUUGUAAAGUACUUUCAGCGGGGAGGCGUUACCCGCAGAAGAAGCACCGGCUAACUCCGUGCCAGCCGCCGCGGUAAUAC